ACCCUCGGGUGACAGGGAGACAGGUGGUGCAUGGUUGUCGUCAGCUCGUGUCGUGAGAUGUUGGGUUAAGUCCCGCAACGAGCGCAACCCCUACGUUUAGUUGCUAACAGGUGAAGCUGAGCACUCUAGACGAACUGCCGUUGCAAAACGGAGGAAGGUGGGAUGACGUCAAAUCAUCAUGCCCUUAUGUUCUGGGCUACACACGUGCUACAAUGGCCGGUACAGACGGAGGCGAAGCCGCGAGGCGGAGCAAAUCCGAAAAAGCCGGUCUCAGUUCGGAUUGCAGGCUGCAAUUCGCCUGCAUGAAGUCGGAAUCGCUAGUAAUCGCAGGUCAGCAUACUGCGGUGAAUACGUUCCCGGGCCUU
rnacentral:rRNA from 1 species